rnacentral:rRNA from 1 species
AUUGCAAUUGUUAAGUGACUUACAUCACAAUCUUGUGCAUUUAGGGGCCAUGAUGAAACACCAAAGUCAAAGAACAUAGGGAAGUAUAUUGAGCUAUUAAAGCUCCUUGCAGAAUUCAAUCAUGAGAUUGCUGAAGUUAUUUUGAAGAAUGCUCCAUACAGUUCAAAGUACACAUCACAUGAAAUCCAAUAGGAGAUUUGGGGUAUUUAUGCAUUUAAAGUUAGAAAACAUAUCCAUGAAGAGAUCAGGGAUUAUAAAUUUUCUAUUCUAGUGGACAAAACAUGUGAUGCGGCAAAAAGAAUGCAAAUGACGGUUCUUAGAUUCGUUGAUGAAGAUCGUAUACUGCAAGAGUGGUUCUUUGCCUUGAUACAUGUGACGAACACCAAAGCCGCAACACUUAAAGUGGUAAUAAGUUCUGUGUUAUCGAAACAUGCUUGUGAUGUUCAGAACCUUCGUGGGUAG